rnacentral:rRNA from 1 species
AACGAACGCUGGCGGCAGGCCUAACACAUGCAAGUCGAACGGACCCUUCGGGGUUAGUGGCGCACGGGUGAGUAACACGUGGGAACGUGCCCUUGAGUACGGAACAACAGUUGGAAACGACUGCUAAUACCGUAUAAUAUCGCGAGGUCAAAGAUUUAUCGCUCAAGGAUCGGCCCGCGUUAGAUUAGGUAGUUGGUGGGGUAAAAGCCUACCAAGCCUACGAUCUAUAGCUAGUCUUAGAGGAUGACCAGCCACACUGGAACUGAGACACGGUCCAGACUCCUACGGGAGGCAGCAGUGAGGAAUAUUGGACAAUGGGCGAAAGCCUGAUCCAGCCAUGCCGCGUGAAUGAUGAAGGCCUUAGGGUUGUAAAGUUCUUUUAGUAGUGAAGAUGAUGACGGUAACUACAGAAAAAGCUCCGGCUAACUCCGUGCCAGCCGCCGCAGUAA